GGGAGCGCGCUCGGCGGCCGCCGCCGCGGCAACUGAAACGGAGGGACGCGAGGGCGGAGGGCGCGAGCCACGGGAGGAGGGUGGGGGGGGAAUGGUGGGUAGCGGGGAGCGCGCGCUGACGUCGCCCGGAGUCACGCACAGAGCGCCGGGUUACGCGCCGACGUCUGGCUGCCACGACUUGCCGUCUGCGGCGGCGGCGGCGGCGGCGAGCGGAUCCCGCAGGGGAAGGAGGAGGAGGAGGGAGAGCCAAGGGGGCUGUGAGUGAGCGGGAGAAGCAGGGUGUGAGCCGGACUUGCUAGCGGGAGGGAGAACGAGCGAGAGCCGAGCCAGCCAUCCGAGCCGCCUCCUCCUCCUCCCCUCGGCGUCCCGCCCCCGCCUGCCAGCCCGCCCUUCUCCCUCCUCAGCCGGCUGAGCCCGAGUGAGGCGCAGCUCGGCUCGCGCCGCUGUCCAAGACAGGUGUGCGCGCGCGCGCCCUCCUCCCCUCCCCCUUUCCUCGCGCCUGCCUAGCGCCUGCCUCGCGCGCGCCCUCCCUCCCUCCAGCCCGCGCCCUCCCUCACCUGCGGCAGGACAGCGCCCGCCCGCCCGGUGUAUGACCCAGCCUCUUGAAGAAGCCCCUCAGAACUCUCCAAGUGGCAGCCUGCCGCAGCCAGCACCUCAGAGCAGGCUCUGCUGCUGCUUCCCAGAGGGGGAUCCAGCUUCCAGCACUUCCGUCUCCCUCUGUCUCUCCUACUGCAGAAGCCAACUCGUACAGAGCCUCUGGGAUUGGCCCCUCUGGCUCUCCCACACCAGCCCUCCACUCCACUCCAGACUGGACCAGGAAUAUCUUCUCUCUCCCUCUCCGUUUCUCUUCUCCUACCCCCUCUCUCUCCCUCUCCCCUUCCAAACCCAAACUGGCCACUAGGCAAGUUCUAACGGCUCCAGUGUUCACACUCCAGCCCAUCCCCACCAUGCCCUCCCCUGAAGCUCCUGCUGCCAGGUCACUUGCUGUGCCAGUUGUCUCCUGAAUGUUUGUCUUCUGAAAUUGGAAGCGUCUAGAGGGCAAGGAUUUUUGCCUCCUACAAAGCCUAGGGCAGUGCUAGGCUCCCAAUGGGCACCUAGGAUCACACUGAAUGCUGAUCUCCUGCUAACCUCCUAGCGCUGCCUCAGAACUCUCUGCCUGUGCAAGGUCCAGGGAGUGGCAGGUCCCGGAAUGGCUGGGUCUUGAAUUGUCAGGUCACUGCAGGAGGAGGGAAGAGGCGAUUUCCCAGAAUGGGUGAGAAUAAGAGAGAGGAUUUUAUUUUCAGAGAGAUGGAAGGGAGGUAGGACCAGUCAGGGGUGAAGUCCCUGGGUGUCAGUCAUCAUGCUGGUGGAGAAGCCCACGCGGUAAAUGGAGGACGUGCAUCCCGGGAAACCCCCCAAACCUCAUAGCUGCCUCUUUCCACCGCCCCUCCAUUCCUCCCAAAGGCGGCCUGCAUCCCGGUUCGCAACCCUGGGACAGAUUCUUGCGUGACUUCGGGCGGCGCCCAGUGCUGCUGUGGACAGCUCAUUCCGCCGCGGCGGCGGCGCCCGGCGUGUCCCCGGCGCCGCCAGGGGGCGAAUAGGGUGCCCGCCGGCUCUCAGGACGUCCGGCGCGCUGGCGCUGCGCUCCGGAGAGGCCCGGCCAGGAAAGACGCGCCCGCCAGAACCGCUUUGGCUGCCCCUCGCCGCCGCCGCAGCCCAGCCGGGCCGCUACUUCCAGCCCCGCCCUCGGGCCGGCUCGGUAGCUAUGGGCGCCCCUGGCCGGGGCGAGGGUGCAGACGCCGCGCGCCUGCACAGGUGGCCAGGCCGCCAGCGCGCCUAGCUCCGCGCGCCCAGGGCACUGCCCGGCGGGCUCGCCGCGCUCCCUUACUGCCCCUCCGCCGUCCUCUUGGCAGCCCCGGCUCUACUCUCGAGGCCGCCCCGAUUUGGGGGCCGGCGAUUAAACAGGCCGCACCCCGGGCGCAGCAAAUGGAGGACGCUAGAAUUUAAGGAGGGAGGAUGCAGCUCAGUCCCCCGCCUUCUCCCCACCCCUAGGAAGCGGCCGCGGGCGGCGCGCAGGCGGGUCUCAGAGCCCUGGGGCUCCGGUCGGGCCCGGCGCGGGUGCCGGUGCCGGUGCCGGGGAUAGACCCCGCUCGAGACUGGUCGGGUGCACCCGCGCCGCACCUAUUGGAACGGGCCUUUACCCGGUCGGACCCGAACCCGCCUCUACGGUCACAACAUCCGGGCUGCGGUCACCUCCCGAUGGGGCCACAUUCGGCUUUAGGAAAACAAAACGAAAAAAGGGGUUUACAAUUGGUAUGUCAGCUCCCCUCUGGGUCAGCUCGUGGUGAGGCUGCAGCCCGAGACCCCGACGGCUCAGAACAGAGACCAGCCCCCGGGCUUUGGCACUGCUGAGGAUCUUUCCACUUGAUGAGAUGCUGUUUCGGUAGAAAAAGAGUCCGUUUUUUUUUUUUUUAACCCAAGUCCGCCUUUAUCAAAACAUGUCAGGCCUGACAGAAUUAGAGAUAAAAGUGUGUGCCUGUGUGUGUGUGUUUAAAUCCUCUUUGUGCCCCCCACCCACACUAGCCAGCAUCCAUUCUGGGUAAAUAUUUCUCCCCUUGAAUAAAAGGAAGUCAAGUUUAUGCUUCGUUUCAAAGGGAGUCUUUGAAAUGGUACCUCUUGCUGCUAGUCAAGAAUUCACAUUUUAUUUUGUUUUGAUUUGGUUAGGUUUGGGCGUUUUUGCAACCCUCAAAGCAAGAAUUAAAGGUUAAAUUAUGUCUCAAGCUGCACAUCACCUGUAGUUUCAAAUCCUAACAUUUAGCACAGGCUUUCACAGCAGGAGCGCCAGGGCUGACAUCUGCGUCGGGUUGUUUUCUGGUCCAUCCACGCUGGUCAGAUAGAUGCUCAGAUAGACUCCUGGGGGAGGGGAUCCUAAAUGAGUGCAUUUCUCUGCCCAUCAGGAGUCAGGAAUCCCUAAGACAAGACCGGUUUGUUGGCUAAGAGGAGCCAACACUACAUGGCUUAAUUGCUUUCUGAGAUACGGGGUUGGGCUGCAAACUCCGGACUUUAUGUCUGUUUAGUACCUGGGACCUGGGUCCCAGGAGACUCUCUACCUCCUCCUCAGUUCAUCUGGACAUGAAAGAUGGGCCCAGAAAUCAACCUAUGGUCAGAGAGCCUGGGCUAUUCUGCAGCCCUGAGGGACCCUCACUCCACAGGACACAGCGCUAAGGCUCUGCUCACUGGGCAGGGGAUCCACCCCAAGCCCAGUGCAAGAUCCCACCCCUGCUCCCUCGGUCUGUCAGUUCCCUGUGUGUCUGAGACUUCCUCGCUCUCUGAAGGUAAGGAAUGGCCUGAUGUCUAGAGCCUCACAUGCAGAGUGGCACCUGUGGGAGCCCCUAGCCCCAGCCCCCAACCUCAGGAGGCUUUGUAGAUGGGGUCAGGUGAACAGCCUGUACCACCGCAGCCUCGGGCUCUGGCCCAGACACCUCCCCUGCUGCCACCCUGGGUCUUCUUUGAGCUUUCCUAGAGAUAAGUGCUUACCGGGUGUGGCUCCCACAGAGUUUCCCUGUUCACCCAAAGGCAGCGACCUGCCCAAAGAGCACCCCCAGCUCAGCCCACCCGAAAGCCUCAACUCUCAUGCUCUUCUAGAGUCAGCACGACCAUUCCACCCCCUCUCAGCUCUGCUGGGGAGCCCUCUGUUCCCAGGAGAGCCACCCAGAGGAGAAGGCCAUGUCCUCACUGCCUAACAGGUGGGAAGGGAUAGACAUUAUCACAUCUGCAAAGGCUCUUCUUGGCUCACCUCUAAUCCCAGUGAGUCUCCCAUCCCACACUAUUUAGUGGGCACCUGCUUUGUACCAGGCACUGUGCCAGGGGUCAGGGAUACAAAAAUAAAUGAAGCGGUUCCUGCCCUUACAAAGCUCAUGGUAUCUGACGAAGGAAUUUAUUCUUUAACUCAUUCAUUCACCAGAUGAAUGAGGCUCUGUACCAAGUGCUAGUGAGACAGCGAAGAAGGCAAGCACAGCCCCAGCCAUCCCAGUAGUAGCACCUUGUAGACUCACAGUCCACAGGGGAGACAGACGUCAAUCUAACCAUCUGGCAAACAGAAUUAUCAACCACGGUAAAGAGAAUCACAGGAUGCUUUUGAGCGCAGGUAAAGAGGGGAGGGGGAGGGGGAGCCGGUCUGACAGGCAGCGGCAGUUAGGAGGGGACUGCCCGGAACACAUACCCAUUAGAAACUGGUAUGGUGCUUCUCUUCCUCCUGAAGCAUGACCCUAGAACUUCAAAAAGACCCCUCCCUGUACCCUAUCCCUCACCCCUACACCCAGGAAAUCUGCUAGCUCCUCUCAGGAUGCCAGGCGCCUUUCCCUGCUGCCCGUGGGUGGCAGGAGGCCACAGUGCCCCUUGUGGCCACUGACUGAAGUUCCCAGGCCAGUGGAGGGGUGGGGUUUCAGGCUGUGGGGCCGUGGUGUCCCAGCCUCCCGAGCUCCACCAACUGGCCUCAGUCCUUGCGCAGAUUCUUUCUCGCGUGCUCGCUCUUGCUCGCUCUCGCUCGCUCGCUCUCGCUCGCUCUCGCUCUCUCUCUCUCUCGCUCUUUCUCUCUCUCUCUCUCUCUCUCUCUCUCUCUCUCUCUCGCUCUCUCUCUCGCUCUCCCUCUCUCUCCUCUCUCUCUCCCUCUUUCUCUCCC